CAGUAGCCGCGGUAAUACAGAGGGUGCGAGCGUUAAUCGGAUUUACUGGGCGUAAAGCGUGCGUAGGCGGCUUCUUAAGUCGGAUGUGAAAUCCCUGAGCUUAACUUAGGAAUUGCAUUCGAUACUGGGAAGCUAGAGUAUGGGAGAGGAUGGUAGAAUUCCAGGUGUAGCGGUGAAAUGCGUAGAGAUCUGGAGGAAUACCGAUGGCGAAGGCAGCCAUCUGGCCUAAUACUGACGCUGAGGUACGAAAGCAUGGGGAGUAAACAGGAUUAGAUACCCCCGUAGUCCCUGUCUCUUAUAC
rnacentral:rRNA from 1 species